rnacentral:snRNA from 1 species
AGUAUGAUUUGGAGUGGCUCCUGCACGUCCUGCCCCCUUCUGUGUGUGCCCUGGGUGAGGCUCAUUCAUUGCACUUCAGGUGUGCUGAUCCCUGUGAUUUCCCCAGAUGUGGGAAACUCAACUGCAUAAUUUGUGGUAGUGGGGCACUGCGUUUGCGCUUUCCUCUG